ACCCAGUCAAAGUGAUUCAACACAGGGAAAAAUUACGCGGGCGGCCAGACACAUCGCGCGGGCCGCGGAAAACUGCGUGGGCUGGGGCAUCGGCCGCCGCCCCCCGCCGCCACCGCUCUCCGGCCGUCCCCGCCGACGCUCUCCGGCCGCCCCCGUUUCCGCUCUCCGGUCGUUGCCGCCGCACCCGCCGCCGCUCUCCUGCAGCCCCCCGCCGCCGCAGGAAACAGAGGGGAUCGAGCUCCGGCCACGACCACUGUACAAAACGGCGUCGGCAGGUUCCUCCAUCGCCACUCCGGGCUCCUCCACCCCGCCCCCUCCGACGGGCUCCAACGGCUCUCUCCGUCCAUUCCCUCGCCCCCGCACUGGCCAUCGAGCUCUAGGUCGACUCCAACAGAAUUGUUGCUGAUUGGGCUGCGUGGUUGUGCAAUUUGACAAGAUUUGAGUGUUGUGCAUUUGCAAGUGUUGUGCAAUGGGUGAAAUUGAUAAGGGAAUACCUCAAGUUGGUAUGAGGUUCAGAAAUGCAGAUGAAGCUUGGGUGUUUUGCGUAGCAUAUGGGGGCCGUGCAGGGUUUGAUGUGAGGAAGAGAAACAAACAUGUAAGCAAGUUUGAUGGUGAAGUGACUUCAUGCGGAUUUGUUUGUUCCAAUGAGGGUCUUCGGAAAAAAAAAGAUAACAUUGGGCCAUGUGCCAAAGCGUAUUAGAGCUGAAACAAGAACAGAUUGCAAAGCCCGGAUGACUAUAGCAUUGGAUCGAGUGGCAAAAAAUUAUGAAGUCACAGAUAUUGUGCUAGAACACAAUCAUUACCUUCAAUUGCCACAAACUUGUCACUUGAUGGCAUCACAAAGGAAGAUUUCCGAAGUACAAGCUUUUGAAAUAGAAGCCGCUGAUGAUUCUGGAAUCAUGCCAAAAGCUGCACAUGAGCUUGCUUGUCGUCAAGUUGGUGGACCACUUAACCUCGGCUACACUUGUGUUGACCAAAAGAAUCAUUUGCGAAGCAAGCGGCAGAGAGAGUUAGCUUUUGGACAGGCUGGUAGUAUGUUGAAGUACUUCCAUGAAAAAAUCAUUGAGAAUCCAUCUUUCUAAUAUGCUUUGCAGUUGGACUGUGAAGAGCAUAUAACCAACAUAUUUUGGGCUGGUGCAAAAAUGGUUCUUGAAUAUGUACACUUUGGCGAUGUUGUCACAUUCGAUACCACUUUUGGCACAAACAAAGAAUAUAGGCCAUUUGGUGUUUUUCUUGGACUGAAUCAGUUUAGAGAAACCACCAUUUUUGGUGCUGCAUUACUAGUUGAUGAAACAUGUCUCAUUUACAUGUCUUUUUGAGACUUUUCUAGCUGCACAUAAUGGGAGGCAACCUAGAACUAUUUAUACGGAUCAAGAUGCAGCAAUGGGGAAAGCUAUAGGAAAAGUCUUCACGGAAUCAUAUCAUGGAUUGUGCACCUUUCAUAUAAUGCAAAAUGCUGUCAAGCAUUUAUCUCCAUUGAAGGGUGAAGAAAAAGACGAAGAGAAAGAGAAAUGUGACGCCCUCGAUUCAAUCGUACACUAAUCAUACAUGCAGAUGUGUACGAUUAA